CAAGUGGAACAUUUACUCUCAUCCAGAACCCAAUAAAUUACAGGCAAGUGGAACAUUUACUCUCAUCUAGAACCCAAUAAAAUACAGGCAAGUGGAACAUUUACUCUCAUCUAGAACCCAAUAAAAUACAGGCGAGUGGAACAUUUACUCUCAUCUAGAACCCAAUAAAAUACAGGCAAGUGGAACAUUUACUCUCAUCU